GAUGAAGAACGCAGCGAAAUGCGAUAGGUAGUGUGAAUUGCAGAUGUAACGUGAAUCAUCGAAUCUUUGAACGCAAAUUGCACUCUCUGGUAUUCCGGGGAGUAUGCCUGUUUGAGGGUCGCCAAAUCAACAUCGAAAUUCAUUUGCUUUUGUAAAUGUUUAUCGGAUUUGAGCCGUCUUUUAUUUUUUUAAUUAAAGUGGCUUAAAAUGUAUUUUUUGGUAUCGAAAAACGUUAUUUUACGAUCAAAUUGAUUAAAAAAACAAACGUUUCGAAAGCCGUCUUUUAAUGUAAUACGCUUGACUGUGGUGUUAAUCAUAGUUUCAUUCGUAUACGAUUUUUUAAUUUUUGACCUCAAAUCAGGUAAGAACACCCGCUGAACUUAAGCAUAUCAAUAAGCGGAGGA
rnacentral:misc_RNA from 1 species